UCCUACGGGAGGCAGCAGUGAGGAAUAUUGGUCAAUGGGCGGGAGCCUGAACCAGCCAAGUCGCGUGAAGGAAGAAGGUACUUAGUAUUGUAAACUUCUUUUGUCGGGGAACAAAGGCGGAGACGCGUCUCCGGAUGAGUGUACCCGAAGAAAAAGCAUCGGCCAACUCCGUGCCAGCAGCCGCGGUAAUACGGAGGAUGCGAGCGUUAUCCGGAUUUAUUGGGUUUAAAGGGUGCGCAGGCGGGAGGUCAAGUCAGCGGUAAAAUGUCGGGGCCCAACCCCGGGCGGCCGGUGAAACUGGUGUU
rnacentral:rRNA from 1 species